CCUACGGGUGGCAGCAGUAGGGAAUCUUCCACAAUGGGCGAAAGCCUGAUGGAGCAACGCCGCGUGGGUGAAGAAGGUCUUCGGAUCGUAAAACUCUGUUGUUAGAGAAGAACGUUCGUGAGAGUAACUGUUCACGCUUCGACGGUAUCUACCAAGACAGCCCCGGCUAACUACGUGCCAGCAGCCGCGGUAAUACGUAGGUGGCAAGCGUUAUCCGGAUUUAUUGGGCGUAAAGUGCACGUAGGCGGUAUGUUAAGUCAGAUGUGAAAGCCUACGGCUUAACCGGAGAAGUGCAUUGGAAACUGGGAGACUUGAGUGUAGAAGAGGAGAGUGGAACUCCAGGUGUAGCGGUGAAAUGCGUAGAUAUAUGGAAGAACACCAGUGGCGAAGGCGGCUCUCUGGGCUGUAACUGACGCUGAGGUUCGAAAGCGUGGGUAGCAAACAGGAUUAGAUACCCCAGUAGUC
rnacentral:rRNA from 1 species